CAGGGGGGGCAAGCGUUGUUCGGAAUUACUGGGCGUAAAGGGCCAGUAGGCGGCCAACUAAGUCACACGUGAAAUCCCCAGGCUUAACCUGGGAACUGCGUGUGAGACUGGAUGGCUUGAAUUCGGGAGAGGGAUGCAGAAUUCCAGGUGUAGCGGUGAAAUGCGUAGAUAUCUGGAGGAAUACCGGUGGCGAAGGCGGCAUCCUGGACCGACAUUGACGCUGAACGGCGAAAGCUAGGGGAGCAAACGGGAUUAGAUACCCCGGUAGUCCUAGCCCUAAACGAUGAAUGCUUGGUGUGGCGGGUAUCGAUCCCUGCCGUGCCGAAGCUAACGCAUUAAGCAUUCCGCCUGGGGAGUACGGUCGCAAGGCUG
rnacentral:rRNA from 1 species